rnacentral:rRNA from 1 species
UGGCGUAGAUAUUGUGGGAGGAAUACCGAUGGGCGAAAGGCAGCCCCUCUGGGAUAAUACUGACGCUCAGACACGAAAGCGUUGGGGAUGCAAACAGGAUUAGAUAACCCUGGUAGUCCACGCCCUNAACUGAUGUCAACUAGCUGUUGGGGCCGUUAGGCCUUAGUAGCGCAGCUAACGCGUGAAGUUGACCGCCUGGGGAGUACGGUCGCAAGAUUAAAACUCAAAGGAAUUGACGGGGACCCGCACAAGCGGUGGAUGAUGUGGAUUAAUUCGAUGCAACGCGAAAAACCUUACCUACCCUUGACAUGUCUGGAAUGCCCGAAGAGAUUUGGCAGUGCUCGCAAGAGAACCGGAACACAGGUGCUGCAUGGCUGUCGUCAGCUCGUGUCGUGAGAUGUUGGGUUAAGUCCCGCAACGAGCGCAACCCUUGUCAUUAGUUGCUACGCAAGAGCACUCUAAUGAGACUGCCGGUGACAAACCGGAGGAAGGUGGGGAUGACGUCAAGUCCUCAUGGCCCUUAUGGGUAGGGCUUCACACGUCAUACAAUGGUCGGGACCAGAGGGGUCGCCAACCCGCGAGGGGGAGCCAAUCUCAGAAACCCGAUCGUAGUCCGGAUCGCAGUCUGCAACUCGACUGCGUGAAGUCGGAAUCGCUAGUAAUCGCGGAUCAGAAUGUCGCGGUGAAUACGUUCCCGGGUCUUGUACACACCGCCCGUCACACCAUGGGAGUGGUUUCACCAGAAGUAGGUAGCCUAACCGUAAGGAGGCGCUAUCCUANCUGUGGAUCAACUAGG